AGAACGAACGCUGGCGGCAUGCCUAAUACAUGCAAGUCGAACGAGAUCUUCGGGUCUAGUGGCGCACGGGUGCGUAACGCGUGGGAAUCUACCCUUGGGUUCGGAAUAACAGUUGGAAACGACUGCUAAUACCGGAUGAUGACGAAAGUCCAAAGAUUUAUCGCCCAGGGAUGAGCCCGCGUAGGAUUAGCUAGUUGGUGAGGUAAAGGCUCACCAAGGCUACGAUCCUUAGCUGGUCUGAGAGGAUGAGUCAGCCACACUGGACUGAGACACGGCCCAGACUCCGUACGGGAGCGAGCAGGUAGGGAAUAUUGGACAAGUGGGGACCAACCCGUGAUCCAGCAAUGCCGCGUGAGUGAUGAAGGCGUUAAGGUGUAAAGCUUACGUUUUACCCGAGACUGAAUAGU
rnacentral:rRNA from 1 species